AUCGUAGAGAAAAAAGAAUCUAGAAUAUUUUAUUCAAAUGUAAUAACUUGCUCUGUCCUUUUCAGCUGACAUCUUCUAGGCCACACAGCUGGGGAAUCGUUCCGGUUACUCACAUAACCUUAUUGAAGACUGUAUGGGGAAACAUACACCGGACUUCUGCUGUGUAUUUAGUGCUACACAUGCACAGUGUCAGAGAUCGUGUGCGGUCAGGUCUACUCAGUGGUCGUCGCCCCACUGAAUCCAGACGGAAACUAGGUCCAGUUCUUUAACAGCAGGCUGUAUUCAGUCACAUGUGUGGGCAGCAGUGUUGGAUUGGUGAUCUAUCAAGGAAAAAGAUAAUGAUGGGAUGGAUGUCCUUCAAACAGUGAGGUACGGCUAGUACAAACACGUGUGUUAAUUACACACAAUAGAGAGAGUCCUUCCUCUCUGAGCCCAGGACUGCCAGUCCUUUUACAGACUAAUGCACAGUAAAGUCCAUUAUAAUACACUUCUCUUGUCAGUGUCACAUCACAUCUGCUAACCAGGAUUCUGCCUUAUACUUACAGGAAUAGUUCACCCACAGAUCAAA